AGGAAUAAAAUCAUCAGAUAUUCUAUCCCUCCUCCAAUCUCCAUUCCGUUAUCGGCACUGCACCCAGAGGGAGAGAAGAGCCCGACCUCCUCUUCUCUUCUUCCUUCUUCCUCGUUUGAUCUGUCACUCACCGGUCAUCGUGAGUGCGUCCGUGCCGUUGCUGGACGUUUGGGUCGCAAGGCUCUUCUUCUCUAUCCCCAUUUCUAGUUUCUACUGCGUCUGCCGAGAGAGAGGGGGUUCCAAUUGAUGUUUCUGUUCCCUCUUCUCGCGGGUGAGUGCUUUCACGAAGGAGCUGGAUUUGUCGUCAUCAAGGGUUGUCGAUCAGUUCGGAGCUCUCUUUCCUUCUCCCCUGUUUUAUCCUGCCGAAAUCAUCUUCUCCCUGUUCGCCACUGCCAUUGAUGUACCAAACUUGUAUCUCAAGGUAUUAAUUGAGGAGUUCUAUUGCUGAAUUGAAGUGGAAGAGUUACUUGAGACAAGUCUCAAUUCAAUGAGAAUUUGAACUUUGUAUUUUUGUCUAAGUGUGGCCCAAGGGCCUCCACAUAAAUUGUAGGUAGGAUCCUUGUCUUUCUUCUAAGAUUGUAUAUUUGACUUGAUAUUGUAAAUUGUUUGUUGUAGAAAUUUCUAGAAGUCUUAUUUU